rnacentral:lncRNA from 1 species
UUUAGUCAACUCUUGCCCCAGUCAAACGAAUUCCAAGAGGAGAGAAAGAGAAAUCUAGGUCUUGCUCGCCCACCGCGUCGUGAAAUUUUGAUCUGGGCACUCCAACAAGAGGCGAAGAACACCACAUUGAAGGUACUCGCGCGUGAAUUCUUAGCUUGGAUUGUUCUGGCUUGAAUACAUAUCUUCCCAUCUCUACAAAACUUUGUUUUCCAGGUAGAUUCUCGUAGAAAGUACGCGCUUCGAAAGAAAUGGGCACGAAUUCUCUACGCUAAGAAACGUUAUCUACUUUUCUCCAUACGUAUCUCGUUCGUCUCCAUUUCUUUCCCAAUUUCCACUCGAGGUACGCUAUCCUUUGGUCAAAAGCUUCUUUUUUUUCCUUCUUCUUCCUCUUUUGUUCGUGCGUAAGCACUACGUAAGUGUGAUCGAGAGAUCUCUCGCAUGGUUUGGCAGUGAAUUCGUGUGCUUGUGUGUGUGUUGCUACCAUUGACGGUGGCUGUCGCUGUGGUCCCUCCUUCCACUUUGUCCUUUCUUCCACUCAGUGGAGAACAUCUCAUUCGUUUUCUGGCGAGAGCUAAAGUUGUGGAGAGAUAGCCUGUGCGUGUGUGUGUGUGAGUAUGUACUUCUGUUCCUCUUCCUGAGGCUGCCCCCUUUGUUUCUCAUUGUUUUUGCUCGUCCCCCUUUUCAACAGGCUCCGGGUUUCCAUCGUCGCUGCGCAAAAAUGGCUUCUUUUCGCAAGAUAGUGCUUGCAUCACUACUAUCAUGCUUGCUCCUCGCCGCUGUUGCCACUGAAACCGAAGGUAGAGCGAGCCUUUCUCUCUUUUGUUUUCUCCUUUUUUACUCUAGAACCGAUUGUGUUCCUGAUUCUUCCGUGGAAUUCUAGCAGAUGAGAGCUUGGUGGCUGCACAGGACCAGGUAAAUACUCUUGUUUUCUCUUUUUUCGUACUGUUCUUUAGCCGCGUGAUAGGAUCUCUCUUAACUUUCAUUCGUUCGUAUUGCAUGAUCUCACCCCCACUGUGUCUUCGCCUUUAGAGACUAGUAGAUGAGGUAAAAAUCUCUUUUUUUUGCUGCGUUUCGCCACUGUUCUUCGCGUAAUCUCCAGUUCUUAAAGCUCUUCGUUUUCGCCAAGUAACUUAUACUUCCUAUUCUUCAGGCUCUUAACUUCGAGCGUGGAUUCGCCAUGGAACAGAUGCUAUCACGGAUCCAGAGCAAAAAGCUUCGUCGCGAGAGAAACUUGGUCCACACAAACGACUACGCCGAUCCAUCGCCAAACACCGAUCCAAAGCGCGGCCCGCCAAAAUCCGGAUAAGUAUAGAACUCUUUUGGAAGCGCGUGUAAAUUUACUCUACACGGAUAUCAAGUCCAUGGUUGUUUUUAUACAUGGCUGACUCUUUGGCUUCCUCAAAGGAAGCAUAGUGUGGUUUUGCUGGCCAGCAUCAACAAUGAAUCUAUAAUAUACAAAUGGUUUGUGGCUUAUAAUGCUGGUAGAAUAGUGUUCUAUCAAUUUAUAAGCAGCAGCUUGCAGAGAGGCCAGCCACAAUAUA